AGAAGGGAACUUUAGUUGGAAACAGGCGUACAGUAGUACUAGUUUUAUAUUUGAAGAAAAAAAGAAAAGAAAGAAAAAGGAAGUAAGAUGUAAUUUGAAAUUCACUGGGGCUUUGGUCAAAUAUAAAGGGAAAGUUAAAAGGGAAAAGUACUAGUUACUAUGAUUCUCUGUUUUCCUUCUUUAUUUUCAAUCAACUAAGCAACCAACAGAAAGAUUUAAGAAAAAGUUAGAGGCGAUAGUUGAGUACUAAUACUCAAAUUCUUCUUCUUCUCUCGGCAUCAAAGAACUUCGCUAGAAGGGGAAGGGAGGAAGGGAUCCUUGUGAUAGCUUUUGAAAUAAUUUUGAGAGGUGACUUCACUAACCUAAAGUUGGAGUUGGAUUUCAAGAAUUAGUAGAUUGGCUAUCAGAGAUCUUGAAUGGGUGGUUGGAAGGAUAAAGGUAACACUUUCACGGGUUGAAUUGUUUGAGGCUCGGAAUACUAUCAUAGAGCACUAAAGGCUCAGAUACUCAGGAUAGCAGAUGUCCACGUUAAGCCUUGUUACCGUUUUCAGCUAAUAUUUUGGUGAGCUCCAUCUCUCCCUGGAGCCGUUCUAUGCCUAGUAUUAUUUUUUAUUGCAUGUACAGGUCCCUAGUUGGGCAUGACGGGCCCUAUGCCAACUAAUCACUUAUAGUAUAGUGUGUUAGACUGACUAGAGGCUUUAUGGACAUCAUGUAGUAUUGUAAUGUACAAUUUUGUUAAUACAACUCUCUCGUAUAUGUAUAUGACUUAUACUGAAUAUCUCAUUCAUUAUUAUCUCAUAACCUUGUGUUC